UUUGGUUAGGAUGGCAACUGCCUAACAGCAAGAAUGUAAAAGCAAGAAUAAGAAAGCUCAGCCAGUCUGUUCUGCUUAGAAUUAUUGUUGUUUCUCUGAUCCUUUUCUCUUUGGCAGGAUCCCUAUGAAGUGGCAGCAGUUCAGGACAGAGCUAUGACACAAAUCAAGGCGCUGGUUGAAGCUUUGUUCCAGGUGCCACUGCCAAGGACCAAAUGCUUAAGCGCUGUGAAAGAAACAAAACAGGGCUCCACAAGGUCCAGCAAGUCUUCAGUGAGGUGUAUUAUAGCUGGAACAUGCACUGGAACUGCCACAUCUCCCUCCCACAAGAAUCAUCUGUAGAUUUUGGAAGACAUCAAUUUGCAGUCCAUGAUACCAGUGCAUGAUCAGCCUUAAGGACUUCAGGUCAGCCUGGGGAGCAAAGGCCUGUUCUUUUUUAAGAUACUGUUUGCAAUUAUAUUUUUGCUAUUUUGUUUAAUGGGUUUCUUUAGCUCCUGUGAGAUUUAAUACAGUAGAAGUCUUAUGAAUCUGAACAACCUACACCACUUAGUCCAGUAAACAUGCUGCAGUAUAUCUAUGCACAAAUAAUACAGUCACAUAACAGAAAACAGUUCAGCUCAGGCAGCAGAAAGCUGCAGGAACAAACUGCAGGAAAUAUUAGGAAUUUGUUUUACUAUUAUCACUAUUUCAGUUUGCUUAGUACAACACCAUUUCUCAUAUACUUAGAAUUCCAUAAAUCUCUUUUAUAUUUUAUGUUCAUUUUCUAAAAAUCCAUUCUGUCUGUGCACACAUACAAGCAUUCUCCAAAUUAAAGCUGACAUUACUUGCCAAUAAUUAAAGGUUUGAAAAAAUAAAAGUUAAAAACAAAAAUCUUCAAACCUUUCCCC